rnacentral:rRNA from 1 species
AUACGUAGGGAGCGAGCGUUGUCCGGAAUUACUGGGUGUAAAGGGAGCGUAGGCGGGAGUGCAAGUCAGAUGUGAAAUACAUGGGCUCAACCCAUGGGCCGCAUUUGAAACUGCAUUUCUUGAGUGAAGUAGAGGUAAGCGGAAUUCCUGGUGUAGCGUUGAAAUGCGUAGAUAUCAGGAGGAACACCGGUGGCGAAGGCGGCUUACUGGGCUUUUACUGACGCUGAGGCUCGAAAGCGUGGGGAGCAAACAGGAUUAGAUACCCUGGUAGUCCACGCUGUAAACGAUGAUUACUAGGUGUGGGGGGACUGACCCCUUCCGUGCCGCAGUUAACACAAUAAGUAAUCCACCUGGGGAGUACGGCCGCAAGGUUGAAACUCAAAUGAAUUGACGGGG